CCCCAAAUUGCCCAUGGCUCGUCAUUGAGGCCCAUUUUCGUUGGGCCUGUUGAAAGCGUCAAAUUAGAUUACGUUUUGAAAACUAGAAUACGCCCAGGCUAUUCUCGUAAUCCGCUCGGGUGACGGAAUGGAGUCUCUCGCCCACAUCGCCGGCCACACACCGCGGCGGCGUGGAGAGGCGGAGUCGCCGCCGGCGGAAAGCGGCCCCCCGGUCCGGCCCUUCCAAGACGAAGCCACGGACAUGGGUCCGGUGGCGUGCCUCAGGUGGCGGCGGCGGAGAUCGCCGGAGGACUAGCAUUUCUUGGCAGUCGGGAUUGGUGGCGGCGGUCGCAGUUUGAAUCGGCGGCGGGAGGAAGAGACGCCGCCGCGUCAUGGGGUGGGAGAGGACACGGGGCGCUCCAGCUCCAAAGCAUUGCGACCUCAGGCGAGGUUAUCAGAAUGGCAUCAAUUCAUGAUCCCCAAGAUUAGUUAUUCGUCUUCAUUAUCUUACAAGAUCAAAGCAUCGUGGCUGCAGGCUAAGGGGAGCAAAUCGAAGCAUUUUAUUUUUCAGGAACUAAAUAUUUUUUCAGUGACAUGUAGGAGAAGAAAUUCAAUUCAAACCUGCGCUACCGAUCCAUGGUCAAUGUUGCUAUCUUUGAAUGUGAUAGUGUGAGAAUUGUUAAUUUGGAUCAGCUGUGGCAAGCACAACUGCUACAGAAUGUGUUGGGUGUUCUGAAAGAGGCAUUGCAUCAGCUGCAGCAAACUGAAAGUGUCAAGUUACUUGCAGCAAGUUGAUAUGUUUUAAGGUAAAACCUCCACUGUGGAUUCAAACAGAACUUGAUGGGGGUGCUAACUGUUUAAGCUUUUCAUAUUAACAAUGUUAUGAUGAAGCCUUAAUCUUUGUAACAUGAUCUGAUCCUUGUAUGAUCAAUUUGUUCGAUCUGAAGCACCAUAGAUUCAUAAUGCAUAAAUAUGUUAUCGUUUGAAUAAGUGAUAGUUUUAUUGAUACUA